AAUCUCUCCUGCCUGGCCUUUGAAAACAGGAAAGAGAAGGAGGACCUGGUUUGUCCUGUGGCUCCAAACUAGCAGGGGAAGGUGAUUUAUGUAGGUGGCCAGGAACAGGGAUCCGUGGUUGAUGAGGUGGAAGUGUCUGUGUCCAGCCCGUCACAGGCACGAUAUCAGGACACAAUCACUGUGCUCACUCCAUGGAAUGGCGUCAGCGUACAG
rnacentral:lncRNA from 1 species